UUGCGCGGGACUGCCGCGUUUUGCGUCGGUCUCUCGAGCUCCUUUUGGUCUUUUAGAGAGGACGCACCUGAAAGUGACGCUCAUCACGUUUAGGCCAAAGUGUACGAAGCAGAGUUAAAUCCCCAAGUUUUCUGAGGUACAGAUAACACCCCUCAGGAAUCUAGCAACAAGGUUUUUUUUUUCAUGAGGCAGCAAUUGUGAUCAUCCAGGAAAUGUCUUAAGAAGGAAUGAUGAGAAUCCAGAAGCUUUAUCACACUGGGUGCAGUUAUAAGCUUGGUUCAUAUGGCAUGCCAAGGUUAAUCCACAGUGUUGUUGCCUUAGUUGUGGCUCAAUAAGCAACUUGGCUUAUUGAGUAAAUCACAGCUAAGCAAACUGAAGCUUGGUGCAAUAUGAGAUCCUUAUCAAAAUGAAGCAGGUUAAGCAAAUUCGCAGAAACAGAAAUAGCCCUAAUUUUUUACCUCUCUCCCUAUGUUCCUAUACUACUCUCACUGCCUUUCUUUGGGAUCAUCAAAAUGUGCAACAUUCAGUGCCUGUCCUAUAUAUAGUUAUUUUUGACUGGAUGAGAAUAAUGGUUAGCCAGGGUCUUCAUAAUUUGCUGCAAGUGCUAAGUCACAAAACCAUGCAUUGUUUACUUAAAAACGUGCAUAAUUUCAACAGGAAUAGGGUAAGGGCAUCUAUAUUGGGGGAAAAAAAUCCUUGGGGUAGGAUUUUUGAUGUCCCUGACAUGUCUUUCAAAUAAAGGCCAUUCCCCUAA